AUUGAACGCUGGCGGCAUGCCGAACACAUGCAAGUCGAGCGGAUGAAGGGAGCUUGCUCCUGGAUUCAGCGGCGGACGGGUGAGUAAUGCCUAGGAAUCUGCCUGGUAGUGGGGGAUAACGUCCGGAAACGGGCGCUAAUACCGCAUACGUCCUGAGGGAGAAAGUGGGGGAUCUUCGGACCUCACGCUAUCAGAUGAGCCUAGGUCGGAUUAGCUAGUUGGUUGGGUAAAGGCCUACCAAGGCGACGAUCCGUAACUGGUCUGAGAGGAUGAUCAGUCACACUGGAACUGAGACACGGUCCAGACUCCUACGGGAGGCAGCAGUGGGGAAUAUUGGACAAUGGGCGAAAGCCUGAUCGAGCCAUGCCGCGUGUGUGAAGAAGGUCUUCGGAUUGUAAAGCACUUUAAGUUGGGAGGAAGGGCAGUAAGUUAAUACCUUGCUGUUUUGACGUUACCAACAGAAUAAGCACCGGCUAACUUCGUG
rnacentral:rRNA from 1 species